UGGUUCAAUGAUGGGAAAGUGGGUUCUCUUAGGGAUAUAGGCCAAUGGUAGAUGGGUAUGGUGGUUUUGUUUGGGGGCAAUGGGUUUGGUGGGAGGCCAUUUGAUGAAAAUGAACUGGAGAUAGCAGUAAUGGAAAUGAAUUGAAGAUUUAGUUGAAAAAUGGAGGUCAUCUGACGAACGGAGAAGAAGAUCAGAGACAAGGGAAGUCAAGUCUCAAUGAUGGAUUUUUAGGUUUUCAAAGAAACAAUGAGGAAAAAGAAACUGUGGAAAGAAGAUCGGAG
rnacentral:lncRNA from 1 species